UGGGGAAUUUUUCGCAAUGGGGGAAACCCUGACGAAGCAACGCCGCGUGGAGGAUGAAGGCCUUCGGGUCGUAAACUCCUGUCGACCGGGAAGAAUGCACCUGACCUAAUACGUCGGUGUGCUGACUGUACCGGUGGAGGAAGCCACGGCUAACUCUGUGCCAGCAGCCGCGGUAAUACAGAGGUGGCGAGCGUUGUUCGGAAUUACUGGGCGUAAAGGGCGCGUAGGCGGUUUGUCAAGUCCCGUGUGAAAGCCCCCGGCUCAACCGGGGAACGGCGCGGGAAACUAGCAGGCUUGAGUUCGGGAGAGGGAAGCGGAAUUCCGGGUGUAGCGGUGAAAUGCGCAGAUAUCCGGAGGAACACCGGUGGCGAAGGCGGCUUCCUGGACCGGUUCUGACGCUGAGGCGCGAAAGCGUGGGGAGCAA
rnacentral:rRNA from 1 species